CCCAGACUCCUACGGGAGGCAGCAGUGGGGGAUAUUGCGCAAUGGGGGGAACCCUGAUGCAGCGACGCCGCGUGGGUGAAGGAGCGUUUCGGCGCGUAAAGCCCUAUCGGCAGGGAAGAAGGAGGACGGUACCUGACUAAGAAGCCCCGGCUAACUACGUGCCAGCAGCCGCGGUAAUACGUAGGGGGCAAGCGUUAUCCGGAUUUACUGGGUGUAAAGGGGGCGCAGACGGCAGCGCAAGCCAGGAGUGAAAGCCCGGGGCCCAACCCCGGGACUGCUCUUGGAACUGCGCGGCUGGAGUGCAGGAGGGGCAGGCGGAAUUCCUGGUGUAGCGGUGAAAUGCGUAGAUAUCAGGAGGAACACCGGUGGCGAAGGCGGCCUGCUGGACUGCGACUGACGUUGAGGCCCGAAAGCGUGGGGAGCAAACAGGAUUAGAUACCCGAGUA
rnacentral:rRNA from 1 species